rnacentral:rRNA from 1 species
UACGUCAACAUCCUUAACGAAUUUGCUCACACUCUAGCCUGUUCGAAGGCGGUCCCUAACGACGUCAGCAAGCUGUCGCCGCCAGGGUGCCAACGAGAGGCCAGGUGGAACAGCCCUAAAGGUAUUCGUUGCAAUCCUCAAUCCCAAACACCACAUUCCGCCAAAGGUUAUAACACUCCCGAAGGAGCCACAUCCCUCCAGCCUUUUUAUGACGUGAGAAAUUGACGUUAACCAGCCGACACAAAAGUGCACCAGACCAUUAAGUGGUCACGAGUCGUAGCGGUUUUGAGGCUCGCCACAGCAGGUGAUCGCUCAACGGGCAGGUUGAUUUCGCGCCAGCACGACUGACUUCAAGCGUUUCCCUUUCAACAAUUUCACGUACUAUUUAACUCUCUUUUCAAAGUUCUUUUCAUCUUUCCCUCACGGUACUUGUUCGCUAUCGGUCUCUCGCCAAUAUUUAGCCUUAGGUGAUGUUUACCACCCAUUUGGAGCUGCAAUCCCAAACAACUCGACUCUUUGAAAGCGUAUCGUAGAUGAACGCACGACCGGUCACAGACGGGAUUGUCACCCUCUAUGAUGCCCUGUUCCAAGGAGCUUCUACCGGCCGCGAGCCCAAGAAAACGCUUCUUCAAAUUACAACUCGGCCUUGAAACAAGGCGGAUUUAAAAUUUGAGCUCUUCCCUCUUCACUCGCCGUUACUAGGGGAAUCCUUGUUAGUUUCUUUUCCUCCGCUUAUUGAUAUCG